rfam:Triticum aestivum genome assembly, contig: Triticum_aestivum_CS42_TGACv1_scaffold_592342_7BS
GUUGUACUCCCUCCGUCCGAAAAUACUUGUCAUCAAAAUGGAUUAAAAGAAAUGUAUCUAAAACUAAAAUACAUUUAAAUACAUCCACUUUUAUUCAUUUUGAUGACAAGUAUUUCCGGAGAUUUACAUU